rnacentral:tRNA from 1 species
GGGCCCGUAGCUCAGCUCGGACCAGAGCGGCGGCCUUCGGAGCCGUAGGUCGCGGGUUCAAGUCCCGCCGGGCCCG